GGGCGGCACUUUUUUAUAAAAAUAUUUUGUAAAUAUUUCAACCAUUUUAUAUUUUUUUCGCAACUAGAGAUCGGAGAAAGUAGUGAUAGUGGGGAUGGAACCUUUAACGAGUGGUCCUGCCCCGAGAGGGGCACCUGAGGCAAGAAUCCGACGAUUCGUCGGAACCAGUAAUUGGUAGGGUAAAAAAGGUGAAGGCAAAAUCAAGUUCCCACGAUGUGGGACUUGAAGAAGCUCAACGCCAACUGAGGGCGUCUCUGGCGCAAGCCAAGCGGGUGGAGGCGCAAAAGGACCUGGAGGAGAAGGUCGCCGCCAAGGAGCGCGCAACCGGUGCCGCAAGGUCCAGGGCCGGCUACGGGGCUUCCAACGUCCUCUACGCAGACCACUCAGUGGCUGAGCUAGCGCAAAUGGCGCUGGAUGACAAGGAGGAAAUUUUGGAGGUGGCCUCCAAGUCUUCCAACCUGAAGGGAUCGGCUGUUGCCGACAAUGAAAUAGGAGGCGAUCUGUCGCUGCCGGCCGUCGUACGCAAGAUGGUCGACAGCGCGGAGUCGUGGGACGCGGUAGUGUCCUUCUGCGAGAACGUGAUGUCGCACCGGGCGCAGGAGAAGGGCGGACAACGCCCUCUUCCAGCCCCCAAUGGGUCCAGGGGCGCGGGACUUGGGGAAGUCCCCGCCCCCUAUUCCAUAGACCCGAGGUGAUGGCGUGCGCGGGUGUCGGCGCGCGCCUCCGAGACGAUGCACGGGGUAGCCCAAACUUACCUACCCCGUGCAAGAGAUGAGGUCAGGACGGACCUGGCCGGCAUGUGAUGUGGGGCUGCGGAAGAAUCUGGACUCUCGCGGCCCCCACGAUCACGUGCUAAGUAGACACCGGGGGGUUUUAGCCGGUAAGAGUCCGGCAUACCCCUCCGCCUUUCCCCUGCCAGAGGAAGUCCAUGAGGAUUUCACCCCGACAAAAAAAAACAAAAAAUAAAGGUUUGGGUUAGGUUGGGUUGGGUUAGCUUAGGUUUGGGUUAGGUUUGGGUUAGGUUUGGGUUAGGUUUGGGUUAGGUUUGGGUUAGGUUUGGGUUAGGUUUGGGUUAGGUUUGGGUUAGGUUUGGGUUAGGUUUGGGUUAGGUUUGGGUUAGGUUUGGGUUAGGUUUGGGUUAGGUUUGGGUUAGGUUUGGGUUAGGUUUGGGUUAGGUUUGGGUUAGGUUUGGGUUAGGUUUGGGUUAGGUUUGGGUUAGGUUUGGGUUAGGUUUGGGUUAGGUUUGGGUUAGGUUUGGGUUAGGUUAGGUUAGGUUUGGGUUAGGUUUGGGUUAGGUUUGGGUUAGGUUUGGGUUUGGUUUGGGUUAGGUUUGGGUUAGGUUUGGGUUAGGUUUGGGUUAGGUUUGGGUUAGGUUUGGGUUAGGUUUGGGUUAGGUUUGGGUUAGGUUUGGGUUAGGUUUGGGUUAGGUUUGGGUUAGGUUUGGGUUUGGUUUGGGUUAGGUUUGGGUUAGGUUUGGGUUAGGUUUGGGUUAGGUUUGGGUUAGGUUUGGGUUAGGUUUGGGUUAGGUUUGGGUUAGGUUUGGGUUAGGUUUGGGUUAGAUUAGGU